CUGCACUCACUACACACACUGCAUUCAUUAUACACACUCUGCACUCACUACAAACACACUACAUUCACUAUACACACUCUGCACUCACUACAUUCACUAUACACACUUUGCACUCACUACAUUCACUAUACACACUCUGCAUUCAUUAUGCACACACUACAUUUAUUAUACACACUCUGCAUUCACUACAAACACAGUACAUUUAUUAUUCACACUGCACUCACUACAAAACACACUACAUUCAUUA